GACAUAGGUCGCAAACGUUAUCCGGAAUUAUUGGGCGUAAAGGAUGCGUAGAUGGUUCAGUAAGUUACUGGGGGGAAAUCGAGGCCCAACCUCGUGGAAGUUAGUAAUACUGUUGAACUUGAGUGCAGGAGAGGUUAACGGAACUUCAUGUGGAGCGGUAAAAUGCGUAGAUAUAUGAAAGAACAUCAAUAUGGCGAAGGCAGUUAACUAUUCUGCUACUGACAUUGAGGCAUGAAAGCGUGGGGAGCAAAACGG
rnacentral:rRNA from 1 species